AACGAACGCUGGCGGCAUGCCUAACACAUGCAAGUCGAACGAUACCUUCGGGUAUAGUGGCGCACGGGUGCGUAACGCGUGGGAACCUUCCCUUAGGUUCGGAAUAACUCCCCGAAAGGGGUGCUAAUACCGGAUAAUGGCUUCGGACCAAAGAUUUAUCGCCUUUGGAUGGGCCCGCGUUGGAUUAGCUAGUUGGUAGGGUAAAAGCCUACCAAGGCGACGAUCCAUAGCUGGUCUGAGAGGAUGAUCAGCCACACUGGGACUGAGACACGGCCCAGACUCCUACGGGAGGCAGCAGUGGUGAAUAUUGGACAAUGGGCGAAAGCCUGAUCCAGCAAUGCCGCGUGAGUGAUGAAGGCCUUAGGGUUGUAAAGCUCUUUUACCCGGGAUGAUAAUGACAGUAACGGGAGAAUAAGCUCCGGCUAACUACGUG
rnacentral:rRNA from 1 species